rnacentral:lncRNA from 1 species
UUUCCUUUUCUUUUUCUUUUUAUCACUUUUUCUUCUUUUUUUUAUUUUUUUUAUAUUUUGAUUUUGACCCCUUUUUUUUUAAUCUGAACUCAUAGGAUUAGGCAAGUCCUCGUUAUCCCUUUCAAUCAGAACCAAAUUUCUUUCAUAGAGCCUUUUGGGGCGAAAUUUAACUAUGACAAAUACUUUAGAUCUUCCCCUUCAAUUAAGAUGAAAUCCAACAACGGAGAAAUGGCAACUUGACUUCGACGGGC